UCUGGCGUAGCUCAACCGGUAGAGCGCGUGGCUGUUAACCACGAUGUUGGAGGUUCGAGUCCUCCCGCCAGAGCCA
rnacentral:tRNA from 1 species